UACGUAGGGUGCGAGCGUUGUCCGGAAUUAUUGGGCGUAAAGAGCUCGUAGGCGGUUUGUCGCGUCUGCUGUGAAAACUGGAGGCUCAACCUCCAGCCUGCAGUGGGUACGGGCAAACUAGAGUGCGGUAGGGGAGAUUGGAAUUCCUGGUGUAGCGGUGGAAUGCGCAGAUAUCAGGAGGAACACCGAUGGCGAAGGCAGAUCUCUGGGCCGUAACUGACGCUCAGGCACGAAAGCAUGGGGAGCAAAAGGG
rnacentral:rRNA from 1 species